rnacentral:sRNA from 1 species
CCGCACAAGAGUCGUCCCAGGACAGCUC